CGAACGCUGGCCGCGUGCUUAACACAUGCAAGUCGAACGGAAAGGCCCUGCUUUUGUGGGGUGCUCGAGUGGCGAACGGGUGAGUAACACGUGAGUAACCUGCCCUUGACUUUGGGAUAACUUCAGGAAACUGGGGCUAAUACCGGAUAGGAGCUCCUGCUGCAUGGUGGGGGUUGGAAAGUUUCGGCGGUUGGGGAUGGACUCGCGGCUUAUCAGCUUGUUGGUGGGGUAGUGGCUUACCAAGGCUUUGACGGGUAGCCGGCCUGAGAGGGUGACCGGCCACAUUGGGACUGAGAUACGGCCCAGACUCCUACGGGAGGCAGCAGUGGGGAAUAUUGCACAAUGGGCGGAAGCCUGAUGCAGCAACGCCGCGUGCGGGAUGACGGCCUUCGGGUUGUAAACCGCUUUCGCCUGUGACGAAGCGUGAGUGACGGUAAUGGGUAAAGAAGCACCGGCUAACUACGUG
rnacentral:rRNA from 1 species